rnacentral:rRNA from 1 species
AGAGUUUGAUCAUGGCUCAGAAUCAACGCUGGCGGCGUGCCUAACACAUGCAAGUCGAACGCGAAAGUGGAGCAAUCCAUGAGUAGAGUGGCAAACGGGUGAGUAACGCGUGGGUGACCUGCCUUCGAGUGGGGGAUAACGUUCCGAAAGGGACGCUAAUACCGCAUGACAUCCUGCCUUUGAAGAGGCAGAGAUCAAAGCCGGGGAUCGCAAGACCUGGCGCUUGAUGAGGGGCCCGCGUCUGAUUAGCUAGUUGGUGAGGUAACGGCUCACCAAGGCAACGAUCAGUAUCCGGCCUGAGAGGGCGGACGGACACACUGGGACUGAGACACGGCCCAGACUCCUACGGGAGGCAGCAGUGGGGAAUUGUUCGCAAUGGGCGCAAGCCUGACGACGCAACGCCGCGUGGAGGAUGAAGAUCUUCGGGUCGUAAACUCCUUUCGAUCGAGACGAACGGCUUCCGGGUAAACAAUCCGGGAGAGUGACGGUACCGAGAGAAGAAGCCCCGGCUAACUCCGUGCCAGCAGCCGCGGUAAUACGGGGGGGGCAAGCGUUGUUCGGAAUUACUGGGCGUAAAGGGCUCGUAGGCGGCCAACUAAGUCAAACGUGAAAUCCCUCGGCUUAACCGGGGAACUGCGCUUGAUACUGGAUGGCUUGAGAUUGGGAGAGGGAUGCGGAAUUCCAGGUGUAGCGGUGAAAUGCGUAGAUAUCUGGAGGAACACCGGUGGCGAAGGCGGCAUCCUGGACCAACACUGACGCUGAGUGAGCGAAAGCCAGGGGAGCAAACGGGAUUAGAUACCCUAGUAGUCC